AAAGAAUGGAAGAAUACACAGUUUUGGAAGUACUAGGAGAAGGAUCCUUUGGCAGAGCUCUCCUGGUUCAUCAUAGAAUCAGUGACCAGAAGUAUGCAAUGAAGGAAAUCAGGCUUCCUAUGUCUUCAUCUGAUGUAGAGAACUCUAGGAAGGAAGCAGUUCUUUUGGCCAAAAUGAAACAUCCAAAUAUUGUUGCCUAUAAAGAGUCGUUUGAAGUGAUGGAAUAUUGUGAUGAUGGAGAUUUAAUGCAAAAGAUUAAGCACCAAAGAGGAAAGUUGUUCCCUGAAGAUACG